rnacentral:rRNA from 1 species
CGGCAGCGCGGUCUUCGGACUGGCGGCGAGCGGCGGACGGCUGAGUAACGCGUGGGAACAUGCCCCAAAGUGAGGGAUAAGCACCGGAAACGGUGUCUAAUACCGCAUAAUGUCUUCGGACUAAAGGAUUUAUCCGCUUUGGGAGUGGCCCGCGUUCGAUUAGGUUGUUGGUGAGGUAAUGGCUCACCAAGCCCACGAUCGAUAACUGGUCUGAGAGGAUGAUCAGUCAGACUGGAACUGAGAUACGGUCCAGACUCCUACGGGAGGCAGCAGUGAGGAAUCUUCCACAAUGGGCGAAAGCCUGAUGGAGCAACGCCGCGUGCAGGAUGAAGGCCUUCGGGUCGUAAACUGCUUUUAUGAGUGAAGAAUAUGACGGUAACUCAUGAAUAAGCACCGGCUAACUACGUGCCAGCAGCCGCGGUCAUACGUAGGGUGCAAGCAUUAUCCGGAGUGACUGGGCGUAAAGAGUUGCGUAGGUGGUUUAUUAAGUGAAUGGUGAAAUCCGACGGCUCAACCGUACGGACUAUUAUUCAAACUGAUAAACUCGAGAAUGGUAGAGGUAACUGGAAUUUCUUGUGUAGGAGUGAAAUCCGUAGAUAUAAGAAGGAACACCAAUGGCGUAGGCAGGUUACUGGACCAUUUCUGACACUGAGGCACGAAAGCGUGGGGAGCGAACCGGAUUAGAUACCCGGGUAGUCCAUGCCGUAAACUAUGGAUACUAGCUGUUGGAGGUAUCGACCCCUUCAGUAGCGAAGCUAACGCGUUAAGUAUCCCGCCUGUGGAGUACGAUCGCAAGAUUAAAACAUAAAGGAAUUGACGGGGACCCGCACAAGCGGUGGAGCGUGUUCUUUAAUUCGAUGUUA